rnacentral:rRNA from 1 species
GAUGAACGCUAGCGACAGGCCUAACACAUGCAAGUCGAGGGGCAGCACAAGGAGCAAUCUGAGGUGGCGACCGGCGCACGGGUGAGUAACACGUAUGCAACCUGCCUGUAAGCGGGGGAUAACCCGUUGAAGACGGACUAAUACCGCAUAAUACUGGAGAUCUGCAUGGAUAUUCAGUUAAACAUUUAUGGCUUACAGAUGGGCAUGCGCAUGAUUAGAUAGUUGGAGAGGUAACGGCUCCCCAACGUCAACGAUCAUUAGGGGUUCGUGAGAGGAAGGUCCCCCACCACUGGUACUGAGACACGGACCAGACUCCUACGGGAGGCAGCAGUGAGGAAUAUUGGUCAAUGGACGCAAGUCUGAACCAGCCACGUCGCGUGAAGGAAGACGG